GUCAGUCGUUGGACCUCCCGUGCC
rnacentral:siRNA from 1 species